UACGUAGGGUGCGAGCGUUAAUCGGAAUUACUGGGCGUAAAGCGUGCGCAGGCGGUGAUGUAAGACCGAUGUGAAAUCCCCGGGCUUAACCUGGGAACUGCAUUGGUGACUGCAUUGCUGGAGUAUGGCAGAGGGGGGUGGAAUUCCACGUGUAGCAGUGAAAUGCGUAGAGAUGUGGAGGAACACCGAUGGCGAAGGCAGCCCACUGGGCCAAUACUGACGCUCAUGCACGAAAGCGUGGGGAGCAAACAGG
rnacentral:rRNA from 1 species